rnacentral:rRNA from 1 species
GACGUAGGGCGCGAGCGUUGUCCGGAUUUAUUGGGCGUAAAGAGCUCGUAGGCGGCUUGUCGCGUCGAAUGUGAAAACCCACGGCUCAACUGUGGGCUUGCAUUCGAUACGGGCAGGCUAGAGUUCGGUAGGGGGAGACUGGAAUUCCUGGUGUAGCGGUGAAAUGCGCAGAUAUCAGGAGGAACACCGGUGGGCGGAAGGCGGGGUCUCU